rnacentral:tRNA from 1 species
UCUAAUAUGGCAGAGAAGUGCAGUGGAUUUAAGCUCCACAAAUAAAGUAACAGAAACUUUUAUUAGAA